ACAUCCAAGGAAGGCAGCAGGCGCGCAAAUUACCCACUCUCAAAACGAGGAGGUAGUGAAGAGAAAUAACGAUGUUAGUCUAUUAUAGGCUGACAAUCGGAAUGGGAACACUGUAAACAGGUUAUCGAUUAACAAUUGGAGGGCAAGUCUGGUGCCAGCAGCCGCGGUAAUUCCAGCUCCAAUAAGGAAAACUAAAGUUGCUGUGUUUAAAAAGCUCGUAGUUGAAUUUCGGGUAUUUGUUGCUAGCUGGUCUUACUGGCCAUGUUGGUUAACAGAUCCUCAUUUGCUGGACGGCUGGCGAUGAUCUUUAUCGAUUGUCGUUAGUUGCCAGAACGUUUACUUUGAGAAAAUUAGAGUGCUAAAAGCAGGCUCACGCCUAUAUAUAUUGCAUGGAAUAAUGAAAUAAGAUCUCGAUUUUAUUUCGUUGGUUUUAGAAAUUGAGAUAAUGAUUAAUAGGAUCAGAGGGGGGCGUACGUACUGUGGUGUGAGAGGUGAAAUUCUUGGAUCGCCACAGGACGAACAGCAGCGAAGGCGUUCGCCAAGAAUGUUUUCAUUAAUCAAGAACGAAAGUUUGAGGUUCGAAGACGAUUAGAUACCGUCCUAGUUCAAACCAUAAACGUUGCCAACUGUCUUUUAGAUGCGGUUAUUUACAUGACUCAUCUGGCGGAUCUCGAGAAAUCUAAGUUUUUAGGUUCCGGGGGAAGUAUGGUUGCAAAGCUGAAACUUAAAAGAAUUGACGGAAGGACACACAGAAGUGGAGCCUGUGGCCUAAUUUGACUCAACACGGGAAACCUUACUCGGCCAGGACACUUUGAGGAUUGACAGAUUGAG
rnacentral:rRNA from 1 species